UUUUGGUGACGACAUCCCGUUCGAGACAUCGUGUCUGGGCCGCGGACCCGCUGCGAUGGAGCUGAGAAUCUGAGCAG